rnacentral:tRNA from 2 species
AUUGAAUUAGUUUAUGUAAAAUUGGGAAUUGUGGGUUCCUAGAACCUAAUUGGGCUUCAAUC